CUGAUAAAAAUGGGAAUUUUGGACACAGACACAGUCACGCACAGAGAGAUGACUAUAUGAAGAGACCCAGGGAGAACGCCACGGGAAGAUGAAGGCAGAGAUCAGGAUGAUGAAUCUACAAGUCAAGGCAUGCCAAAUAUUGCCAGCAAGCCACUAGAAGCUAGGACAGAGGCGUGGAACAGAUUCUCCCUCACAGCCCUCAGAAGGAACCAACCCUGCUGAUGGGACAGCUUGAUUUCAGACUGCUAGCCUCUGGAAACGUGAGGGGAUACAUUUCUGUUUAAGCCAGUCAGCUCGUGGUACUUUGUUAUGGCAGCCCUAGCAGUAUUUGAUAUCUUGAUUAGGGUGAACAAUAAAAAAGCUUGUUUGGGGCAAUGAAGAGGUGAAAGCACACGUGAGUAAGCAAGAAAAUUGACCUAGAGGAAGUGAUCAAUCUAAACAGCAGAGAAGUAGUGCUUCUGGAAAAACCCUAAUCACACUCAUUCGCUUUGCAGUAAUGAAGUGGAAAAGGCACCUUAUCAAGACAAGAGUUUUGAAGAUUUUAAGUCUCUGAGCAAUCCAAAUCCUUUCGAAGUUGAAGAAUAUCUUUUUCUCAACAAACAGAAGCAUCCUUUUUAUGUUAAUACAGUCAUGCAAAGAAACAAUGACAGAAUAGUUGGUAUGGGAGUAAUGCCCUGAAAGAGAUGAGUCACUGUCUGAGGCAGAAACCGGAAGGCGUAAAGCUCCCUGUGGGGAAUACAACAAAGACGUGGGAACCAUUAUAGGACGAUCGACGUUGCCUCUGCCAUCACCUGGGUUUGUGAAUGGCUUCAUCAGCACUUCAUGCUAACACUAUUAAAUACGAAGUGUCAAGCUCAGCACUCACAGAAGGUGACCUGGACUAGAGCCAGGCCCCCAGCUGAGCCUGUGAUGAGCAUCCAGGAGCUGCUCGAAUGAGGGAUCAAUGACUUGCAAGUUUACCAGGCAGAAUAAUGAAUAGAAGUGGGACAACUGCAAGCAAAAUUGGCAUGAGAAAUGAGGGUACUGAGAGAGUGGCCAAGAGUAGGGCACAGCUGCAGAAAGUUGAGGAACUAGCCCGCUAGAAUCUGACCUGGGAGGUACAAACACAGCGCGGAAAACUUGGUAGUCCUAUGAGGAUUUUGGGGGCAGAGAAAAUACUCUGUAUGAUACCAUAAAGAUGAAUACAUGUCUUUAAACGUUUGUCCAAACCCAUAGAAUGUACAACACCUCUCUGGCGGGGGAUGUUGAUAAUGGGGGAGAUUAUGUUUGUGACGGGCCAGGAAAUCUCUGUACUUUUCCCUCAAUUUUGCUGUGAACCUAAAAUUGCUCUAAAAAAGAAAAAUGAAGUCAAUAAAAAAAAGUUUUUUGUAAGGAAUAAACACACUAAGAUGUUUAUAUGAGCAAUCAUUUUGGUUAGUUUCAAUACAAUGCUAUCUAAAAGAUAUGGCUAGUUGUAUACUUGCAUCUUCUGCUAAAAUGAUAUUUGAACACCUCCAAGGCUAUAAGCUUGCAUGACCAGGAUGAGAAUAGAGCCUAUUGAGAAGCACGAGGAAGAUGAGUUGGAAGAUGAACUGGAAGAUGAGUUGGUUGUAGAGGAAAGAUUAUGAUUUCUACUUAGAAGGACUUUCUAUCUCAAAUAUUCAUACCACUAAAAGAAUGCUGAAUGUUAAUAAUGACAUUUAAUGUUAUAGUAGUAUUAAAAUAGAGUUGCUGUAUUUUUCUUAGAGAGUAAUAAAAAUUGAUAAGGAUUUUGAGACACACUUCUA